rnacentral:rRNA from 1 species
AGGUGCCCGUACCGCAAACCGACACAGGUAGGUAGGAAGAAGAUUCUAAGGCCAACGGGAGAAGGGUUGUUAAGGAACUCGGCAAAUUGACCCCGUAACUUCGGGAGAAGGGGUGCUCCAGAGAUGGAGCCGCAGAGAAUCGGCCCAAGCAACUGUUUACCAAAAACACAGGUUUGUGCUAAAUCGAAAGAUGACGUAUACGAGCUGACGCCUGCCCGGUGCUGGAAGGUUAAGAGGAGAUGUGCAAGCAUUGAAUCGAAGCCCCAGUGAACGGCGGCCGUAACUAUAACGGUCCUAAGGUAGCGAAAUUCCUUGUCAGGUAAGUUCUGACCCGCAUGAAAGGCGUAAUGAUUUGGGCACUGUCUCAACAGCCCGCCCGGCGAAAUUGUAGUACCGGUGAAGAUGCCGGUUACCCGCGACAAGACGGAAAGACCCCAUGGAGCUUUACUGUAGCCUAAUAUUGGGUUUCGAUGUUGCAUGCACAGGAUAGAUGGGACUCUUGGAAACCAAGGCUUUGGCUUUGGCGGAGAGGCCGUUGGGAUACCAUCCUUGCGAUAUUGGAAUUCUAACCUGCGGCUCUGAAUCGAGUCGGGGGACAUUGUUAGGUGGGCAGUUUGACUGGGGCGGUCGCCUCCUAAAAAGUAACGGAGGCGUUCAAAGGUUCGCUCAGCUUGAACGGAAAUCAAGCAAAAGAGUGCAAACGCAGAAGCGAGCCUAACUGCGAGACUGACGGGUCGAGCAGUAACGAAAGUUGGAGUUAGUGAUCCGGUGGUAUGUGAGUGGAAAUGCCAUCGCUCAACGGAUAAAAGUUACCCUGGGGAUAACAGGCUGAUCUCCCCCAAGAGUCCACAUCGACGGGGAGGUUUGGCACCUCGAUGUCGGCUCAUCGCAUCCUGGGGCUGUAUUCGGUCCCAAGGGUUUGGCUGUUCGCCAAUUAAAGCGGUACGCGAGCUGGGUUCAGAACGUCGUGAGACAGUUCGGUCCCUAUCUGUCGUGGGCGCAGGAUAUUUGAUGGGAGCUGUCCCUAGUACGAGAGGACCGGGACGGACGUACCUCUGGCGCACCAGUUGUUCCGCCAGGAGCAUAGCUGGGCAACUACGUACGGAUCGGAUAAACGCUGAAAGCAUCUAAGCGUGAAGCCGACCCAAAGAUAAGAUAUCCCACUGAUUUAAUCAGGUAAGAUCCCUUGUAGACUACGAGGUUGAUAGGCACGAUGUGUAAGUGGAGUGAUCCAUUCAGCAAGUGUGUACUAAUAGAUCGAGGGCUUGACCAC